rnacentral:rRNA from 1 species
UACAGAGGGUGCGAGCGUUAAUCGGAAUUACUGGGCGUAAAGGGCGCGUAGGUGGUUUGUUAAGAUGGAUGUGAAAUCCCUGGGCUUAACCUAGGAACUGCAUCGAUGACUGACAGUCUAGAGUACUGUAGAGGGUAGUGGAAUUUCCGGUGUGAGCGGUGAAAUGCGUAGAGAUCGGGAAGGAACACCAGUGGCGGAAGGCGGUUCUCUGGGCCUGUACUGACGCUGAGG